rnacentral:rRNA from 1 species
CAAUAGCGUAUAUUAAAGUUGUUGCGGUUAAAAGCUCGUAGUUGGAUUUCUGCCGAGGACGACCGGUCCGCCCUCUGGGUGAGUAUCUGGCUUGGCCUGGGCAUCUUCUUGGAGAACGUAGCUGCACUUGACUGUGUGGUGCGGUAUCCAGGACUUUUACUUUGUAGGAAAUUAAGAGUGUUUCUAAGCAGGCAUGCGCCUUGAAUACAUUAGCAUGGAAUAAUAAGAUAGGACCUCGGUUCUAUUUUGUUGGUUUCUAGAGCUGAGGUAAUGAUUAAUAGGGAUAGUUGGGGGCGAUUCGUUAUUUAACUUAGUCAGAGGUGGAAAUUACUUUGGUA